UAGAUAUUGAUAGUCAGAGUGAUUUUGAAUCUUUUCUAACUUAGUCUGAUCCUUAUGCUGUUUGACAUCAGGAUGUAGGGAUUUUUGACCAGUAUCAUUGUGUAAGGGAAUAGGAUUGUCUUUAUGGUUGCGUGGAGGAUUAAAAGGAUUGUGGCUCUGAGAGGAAUAAUCACCUUCUAGCGGCUUUACAAUCUGCAGCUUCUCCGGCAGGUAGGAUCUGGCGGUGAACGAGUACCCCGACCACACGCUGCCCAAGGAUGGAUGUGAGCACAGUGAGAACAGACUUUCUGUUGGAGUUCCCGGUCCUCCGCUACUCCCACUUCCUCCUUUUUCCUCCUCUUUGGCAAGGUCUACUAUCUGGGAGAGAAGAUGAGUGAUCUCCUCCUGCUGUCUGGAAGCAUCCUCAGAUUUCCUCGCCAGCUCUUCAGCCAGAGAAGACAUUUGCACGUUGGCAUCACCUGAGAACAUCAGAGGGAUGCAGCAAAAGGAAAACGGAGAUUGUUUCUGUUUCUAAAUGGCUUGCCUGGAGUAGAAGAAGAUAAUAUACAUAAACAGUCCAAUAUAUAACUUGUACUAACACAGGAGACAUGUCGGAGACGUACAUUAAGGUAACAUUGAGCAUGUUAGUGAAUAUUCUAGCGGUCUUUAGUCGCGUACUGUAUUGACAAACAAUAACACACACAGUUGUCUGCCUGGAAAUCAGCCGAGUGAAUCACUACCCUAAUUGACAAUUGUGCUUAAGAUACAAAUUAUUUUGCGCAAAUACAAAUACUGGUGUGCAUGAUACAGUGGAUGUUUAAGUGUGUAUGAACCUUAGAUCGUAGAGAUUUGUUUUCUUCUUCUAAAUCUUUCAGUUUCUUCUGCAAAGAAUCCAAGGGGAAACAAGUUGGGGCGGACACGUUCUCACUGGGUCGCACACUGUGGAAAACAAUCAUCAACAGUGCACAUGUUAUACACCAACUGGCCAUUUUGGUACAAAUGCUAAUGAACUAAGCUACUGAACUCCAUUGUAAACAUGUGUGUUUCUACAUUUGUUUAAUUUCAUUUUACUUUAAUUUGGCAACAUUUUUUAUCAUAUUUUACAAUUGUUUUGAUUAUAUUAUAACUGCAAUCUUUGAAUGAUGAUAAAUGAAUGUAUUGUGGCAGUUGUUGAUUUCACCAAUGUGGCGGUCUGAGGAAAGACACGAUUGCUUCUACAAAAAUGUUUUCAGUGAACUGCCAAUGUAAGAAUGCUGAACAGGAAGUGCUUAAAGUUAAAAAGUUUGUGAAAACACAGUCAAAGUUAUUUGUGUUCGUGGUGUUUUUAAACUGCACCGUUUUUUUCUUCAGAACUUUAAACUAACUUAAAGUGUUUUGCCAAGAGGAUUAGUUGUAAUAUGUACAUUUUAUGAAUUUGCUUGUUUUAUU